rnacentral:lncRNA from 1 species
UGUGGCUAGUAGGGAGAAAUCGAAACUCAGCUGUUAAAACCGCUGCCUCUGCUCUUUGGAACCCCCUCUCGAGACUCGUCCAGCGUCCCAGCCUGCGUCCCUCCCGCAGCGACGGCGGCCCCGGGGACCAGGACCGCGGGCUCUGAACCAUGUACACCCGCAGUAAAGUGGUGGGCUCCAGGCUCGGCGCCACCCCUGCCUCCCAGGACCCCAGUAGGGGGCGCGGGGAGCUGGGUCCCUUGCAAAGCCAGAGACAGGGUGUGGAGGCGGCCCCUGGGGCGCCUUGGCGGGAGAGCCUGGGCCACGCGGGCCAGGGGAGCACAGGUGCAUAUACCAUGAUUGCACCAAAUGAAAGCCGGAGACAUCAGAUACAGAGGAUUGCUGCGCAAGAACUGUCCAACCUGGAGAAGUGGAAGGAGCAGAAUAGAGCUAAACCAGUGUAUGUGGUGCCAACACUGCUGGGGGGAAGCCAGUCGGAGACUGAAGUCAGGCAGAAACAACAACUCCAACUGAAGGAAAGUAAAUACCAGCAAAAGCUAAAAAGACAAGAAUCUGUAAGAAUCAGGAAGGAAGCUGAAGAAGCUGAGCUCCAAAAAAUGAAGGCAAUUCAAAGAGAGAAGGUUUGAGUAUUGGUCAAAAUUUAAACCUGAUUAUCAAGCCACAGAUGUUUUAACCAGUUAUGGUUAAUGAAGCUAAAAGCUGA